UGGCAUAAGCCAGCUUGACUGCGAGCGUGACGGCGCGAGCAGGUGCGAAAGCAGGUCAUAGUGAUCCGGUGGUUCUGAAUGGAAGGGCCAUCGCUCAACGGAUAAAAGGUACUCCGGGGAUAACAGGCUGAUACCGCCCAAGAGUUCAUAUCGACGGCGGUGUUUGGCACCUCGAUGUCGGCUCAUCACAUCCUGGGGCUGAAGUAGGUCCCAAGGGUAUGGCUGUUCGCCAUUUAAAGUGGUACGCGAGCUGGGUUUAGAACGUCGUGAGACAGUUCGGUCCCUAUCUGCCGUGGGCGCUGGAGAACUGAGGGGGGCUGCUCCUAGUACGAGAGGACCGGAGUGGACGCAUCACUGGUGUUCGGGUUGUCAUGCCAAUGGCACUGCCCGGUAGCUAAAUGCGGAAGAGAUAAGUGCUGAAAGCAUCUAAGCACGAAACUUGCCCCGAGAUGAGUUCUCCCUGACCCUUUAAGGGUCCUGAAGGAACGUUGAAGACGACGACGUUGAUAGGCCGGGUGUGUAAGCGCAGCGAUGCGUUGAGCUAACCGGUACUAAUGAACCGUGAGGCUUAACCUUACAACGCCGAAG
rnacentral:rRNA from 1 species